UACGUAGGGGGCUAGCGUUAUCCGGAAUUAUUGGGCGUAAAGAGCUCGUAGGCGGUUUGUCGCGUCUGCCGUGAAAGUCCGGGGCUCAACUCCGGAUCUGCGGUGGGUACGGGCAGACUAGAGUGAUGUAGGGGAGACUGGAAUUCCUGGUGUAGCGGUGAAAUGCGCAGAUAUCAGGAGGAACACCGAUGGCGAAGGCAGGUCUCUGGGCAUUAACUGACGCUGAGGAGCGAAAGCAUGGGGAGCGAACAGG
rnacentral:rRNA from 1 species